UACCUUCCAUCUAUUGUCACACAAUUGCAAGUCAUUUUCUUUCAGCUUAGAGAGACACACGGGAGAGAGAGAAACCGGCGAGAGAGAACUAAACGGAGUCGGCCGCGUCUCCGGCGUUUGGCCGAGGUCCGGCGCAUGGUAGGCCUCAAUCAACUGAACCAAGAGUAAGGAAUCUCAUCUUGGUGACGGAAUGGUGGUCGUGAUGUUUGCAGAUGUGGUGGCUAGGGUUCCGAUGACCCUAGAUGGUGCGGUGGCGCACACACGGUGGCAAGAGGCUAUAGGCGCGAUUGUUGAUUACCUUGUCCACUUUUCAGGUUUUGAACCCUCCUGUAAAUCUUUACCUCUAUAUCCACACAAUCACCCAGUCUCACAAACGUCUCACCAGGAAGCAGAGAGACAACCCUCUGCGAACCCUCACUUUCACGGCGACAAUACCCAUUGUUUGUAAUCUGUACCGCCAGGUGGGUAAGCCGACGAUGAUGCAAACAUUGUCUGCUUUUUUAUUCUCCGACUGUUUUCUGGUUCGUUUUGCUGAAACUUUGCUUUAUUUUUUCUGAUUAUUAUUCGAUUUUUAGGUUUGAUUAUUGUUUCAUCAGGUUUAUGCAAGUUUGUGGUUUCCUUGAUUUUUAUAGCUACUACAUAAACUGGUAAUUGCUCCCGGCAGUGGAAUUUAUGUCAGGCUACCGGAACAGUAGAUGUCGGAGAAGUGUGACAUACAUGUUCCUAAUAUACGCAUAUUGAGACCCUUUCAUCCGCUUUUGAUAGGCGUAUUCAGUGAUCUUUACCAUCUUCUUCAUUUUGGCUUUCACAUAUUUGAAUCGAAAGUAGUUUAUGGUUGCAUAUUUAAUUAGACAAUAGUUAACUGAACCUCUUGAUCUGAUCUAAUGUUAUUUUCGACGUGAAAUGCACAAGGGAAUGAGGUGUUAAUGGCGAUGACAGAGGAGACGGCUGGGGAUAACUGGGAGGGGAAAGAUGAGGUGCUUAAUGAUAUGUGGGUGGAUGAAAGCAGGAAAAAAAGGGGAAGGACAAAGGGGUGAAGUCGUCGGCUACUGCGCAUUUGGAAGGGCUGAGGUGGGAGGUUUUGGUGGUCAAUGAUCAUGUUGUCAAUGGGUUUUGUUUGCCUGGUGGGAAGAUUGUGGUGUUUACCGGGUUGUUGGAGCAUUUUAGAACUGAUGAAGAGAUUGCCACCAUUAUUGGUCAUGAGGAUGAUAAGAAAGUGACACAUUAUGGCGAUGUUCUUCACCUAUUUAUACACAUAUGGGCUGUAUUUUUUCCUAUUUUUUCAUUUGUUAUAUAUAAUAUAGGUGGUGUAUUUGAAAUGUAAUCAAUUUUGGAGUUUGUUUAUGUGUAUAACCGUUGUACUGCCAAAUAACACUUUAUGAACAUUUUGAACUUAACGUUUAUGCUUUA